GAUGAAUGCUGGCGGCAGGCCUAAUACAUGCAAGUCGAGGGGCAGCGAGUUGUAGCAAUACAAUGUCGGCGACCGGCAAACGGGUGCGAACACGUACAUAACUUGCCCAUAGCUGGGGCAUAACACUAAGAAAUUGGUGCUAAUUCCCCAUAGUAUUAAUGAAGGGCAUCCUUUGUUAAUUAAAGCUCCGGUGGCUAUGGAUAGGUGUGCGACUGAUUAGGUUGUUGGUGUGGUAAUGGCGCACCAAGCCGACGAUCAGUAACUGGUGUGAGAGCACGACCAGUCACACGGGCACUGAGACACGGGCCCGACUCCUACGGGAGGCAGCAGUAAGGAAUAUUGGUCAAUGGACGCAAGUCUGAACCAGCCAUGCCGCGUGAAGGAUGAAGGUUCUCUGAAUUGUAAACUUCUUUUAUUUGGGAAGAAAUCCUCCUUUCUAGGGGUGUUGACGGUACCAAAUGAAUAAGCACCGGCUAACUCCGUGCCAGCAGCCGCGGUAAUACGGAGGGUGCAAGCAUUAUCCGGAUUUACUGGGUUUAAAGGGUGCGUAGGUGGGUAGGUAAGUCAGUGGUGAAAUCCCCGAGCUUAACUUGGGAACUGCCAUUGAUACUGUCUAUCUUGAAUGUUGUGGAGGUGAGCAGAAUAUAUCAUGUAGCGGUGAAAUGCUCAGAUAUGAUAUAGAAUACCGAUUGCGAAGGCCGCUCACUAUACAAUUAUUGACACUAAGGCACGAAAGCGUGGGUAUCAAACAGGAUUAGAUACCCUGGUAGUCCACGCCCUAAACGAUGAAUACUCGACAUUAGCGAUAUACUGUUAGUGUCUGAGCGAAAGCAUUAAGUAUUCCACCUGGGAAGUACGAUCGCAAGGUUGAAACUCAAAGGAAUUGACGGGGAUCCGCACAAGAGGUGGAACAUGUGGUUUAAUUCGAUGAUACGCGAGGAACCUUACCUAGGCUAGAAUGUUAGGAGACAAUCUCUGAAAGGAGGUUUUAUGGUAACAUACUGCUAACAAGGUGCUGCAUGGCUGUCGUCAGCUCGUGCCGUGAGGUGUUGGGUUAAGUCCCGCAACGAGCGCAACCCCUAUCCUUUGUUGCCAACAGGUAAUGCUGGGAACUCUAAGGAAACUGCCGCCGAAAGGUGUGAGGAAGGAGGGGAUGAUGUCAAGUCAUCAUGGCCUUUAUGCCUAGGGCUACACACGUGUUACAAUGGGUACUACAAUGGGUUACGACAUAGUGAUAUGAAGUCAAUCUCUAAAAGUACUCUCAGUUCGGAUUGCAGGCUGCAACUCGCCUGCAUGAAGCUGGAAUCUCUAGUAAUCGUAUAUCAGCAAUGAUACGGUGAAUACGUUCCCGGAUCU
rnacentral:rRNA from 1 species